ACCCCGGCACACAUGGUAGAGCACCUGACUGUUAAUCAGGGUGUCGUCCGUUCAAGUCGGACUGGGGCA
rnacentral:tRNA from 1 species